GACAGAGGGUGCAAACGUUGUUCGGAUUUACUGGGCGUAAAGCGCGUGUAGGCGGAUUGUUAAGUCGGGGGUGAAAUCCUGGAGCUCAACUCCAGAACUGCCUUCGAUACUGGCGAUCUCGAGUUCGGGAGAGGUGAGUGGAACUGCGAGUGUAGAGGUGAAAUUCGUAGAUAUUCGCAAGAACACCAGUGGCGAAGGCGGCUCACUGGCCCGAUACUGACGCUGAGGUGCGAAAGCGUGGGGAGCAAACAGG
rnacentral:rRNA from 1 species